ensembl:lncRNA
UACCAGGAGGAGCAAAAGUGUUUGAAAAAUAAUUUCGCCCCUGCCAGCGUCUGCUAUUGAGAUCAGUGUCCAUUCCAAUUUGUUCCUGACUCUCCAAAGAUAUAUUUUUUUCUCAUUGGGAAUUUUCUCCUUAUGGGAAUACGAAGGCAGAGAAUCUGUGACACAAACAAACAAGCAAAUAAGUGACCUUGGCAUGCAGAAGCUCUGCUCCUGAGCGCUGCCCUCCCUCUGGACUUGCCAGUAUCCUCUGCUCCAAGAGGCAGUGCACCAGUGGGAGACCCCGUGGAAAGUCUGGAAGCUCGAGGUUGGCUCUAUGCUCCCCCCACACCUAGCCCAUCCUUCUGGCUUUAUCAUGACAUAACACACCGGCAGGCUGAGCUGAUGGAAGGAUCCUCUCUUCUGAGUAAACUCACACAAAAAUGUUGGAUAAAAGAUGGCAAAAUUACAUAUCUCUUUCAGUUUGAAAGCCAGAAAGAAAAAUCACCCAAAUGUAGAGACAAAAUCCUUCAAAGCAGAGCACUGAGUAGGAGUUAAACUGAACGAGUCUCAGGGAUGGCAAACCCCGUGUUGAGUUUUAAAGCCCACGUGCAGGAAAACACAGCGUUGGGUCUGUGAAAUGUAGGCUCUUUGAAGGACUAGCACUGGGGCUCCAGAAGGCCAAGAGGCUGAAGAAGCCGGAACACCUCCACAGAAAGACUCUGGGGAGUAUCUGCGAUGCCAUCACCUGCCUGCUUUGGGUUGGAAAAGAAUUACCCCAGAGACAUCAGAAUUUUAACCUCAGAGUGUGCACAUGUCUCAAAUUCUUCCAACCAAGUAGGGAUGGAAAUGGCCCGACCUGAGAAGUUAAUAUAAACAUUCUUUUGUAACAGAGGAAAUCUGGAGGUUCCUGGUUGGACCAAAUAAGAAUCUUCUCAGAGCCUUUUUCAGUGAUUAUUUCGUAAGGACAGAGGGAUCAACGUGAAAGCACUGGCAUUUCAACUGCAAAGCCUCUUCUCUGCCUGAGAUUAUCUUUAUCCUCCAAAGUCCAGUUCCAGUGUCAUUCCAAGACUUUCUGUCAGAUGACAACUACCUCCCCACUCCCCAAACUCCUUGGCCACACAAGCCUUUGCCCCAUGGCCCUUGGUUCAUCCCUUCAGACUAGAAUUUUCGUCUUGUGCCCUGUGUACCUUUGUCCUCUUUCAUCUGUCUUCUAGAGGUGAGCAGCUCGAGGGGAGGGAUCACGUCUUAUGUGCACUCGUGUCCUCUGUACUUUAAAAUAUCUGUUGAAAGUAACAGAAAUAAUAAUUUCCAUUAACCUUUGGGAGGAUAGGCAGAGAAGCAAACAACCUUGACAGUGAUGAUUUUAUCAAUGAUAAAAUUUAAUGAAGAACAUUUAAGGUGCUUGGGCACCGAGUCAAAGACGUUGGAUAAUGAGCGACGGCUGCAAACUCUGUGUGAUUGAUGAUAGGAAAGAUGACAGAGGUGAGAAGCUCUGUAAGAGUUCAGAAAAUCAGUUUAGCCUACGGUGGGGAAGUGCGAGAAGGUAAGGCCAGAAAGUUUGGAAGAUUGAGGGGGGCCGGAUUAUGGGUAACUCAGCAACUUGGACCCUUUACCCUGUAGCUAGUUAGUGGGAAACCAUGCAGGUUUUCCGUGGGGGAGCGGGAACGCCAUCGAAGCUCUUGUUCAGGAUUAUGAAUCUGGCAUCAACGUGUAGGAUGAACUGGAUGGGGAAGCAACCCAAGGCAGAAAAACAGCCUGAGGGACUGUUGCAAAGCCUGUAAGGAUGGGUGAUAAGAGCUUAGAGUAG